rnacentral:ncRNA from 1 species
UUGAGCCGUGUGCGGUAAAAGUCGCACGCACGGUUCUGAGGGGGGAAGGGGAGAGUAAUCUCCCUAACCUACCCGAC